rnacentral:rRNA from 1 species
AUGGCACUCACGGCGCUCGAGACCGCGGAGCGGCGCCUGCCGUGCCACGCCGAGCAGGCCGACGCCGGCGGCAAGGUGGUGGCUGCUGCUGCUGCUGAGCAGGCCGUGCCGCUGCAGGAGGCGGACCACGGCGGCCGUCUCGAGAGGGACGACAUAUGGAACAUGAUCCAGUCGCAGAAGCCCGCGGCCCCGGCGUUGACGCCGAAGCAGGCGCCGUACGUGCCGGCCCCCGUGCGCCGCUCCUCCAGCCUGCUCACCCAGAAGAGCCUGGAGAUCUGCACAGAGAGCCUCGGCUCCGAGACCGGCUCCGACGGCUUCUCCGACGCCGCCGACCGCUCCUGCCCGGGCUCCGACGACGACGACGGCGAGGGCGGCGCCGACGGGGUGGCCGCGCGCGCCAUGCCGCCCCGCGCGUUCCCGCCGCCGCUGCCCUCGCUGGCGCGCCGCACCGUCGGGUCGCUGCAGAUGAGGCAGCACCGCCGCGACGGCCGCCUCGUCGUCGAGGCCGUCCCCGUGCUGUCCAACACCCUGUUCCGCGCGCAGCGCCGUGGCGGGCGCCUGCUCCUCUCCUUCGCUGACACCGCCGCCCCGGCCGAGGACGAGGGGAAGAACCGCGCCCAGGAAGCCGACCAGCAGCAGGCCGACGAGCAGACCCGCGAGGAGGAGGAGGAGGAUGACGGCGAGGAGGAGGUCCAGGUCGUGGACAGAGGCACCGUCGUCGAGGUCAAGGUCAGUACGCAGCCCCAGGCGCACAACAGUGGGGCGCGGGUGCACCGCUCCUCGCUCGUCAUCAACAAGUUCGUCGGCGCCGAGCCCGUCAACGCCUCCGAGAUCAAUGACACCGCCGCUGCGCCGCAGCAGUCGCCCAAGCCUCCGAGCAGUUCGGAGGCCGCAGCUCCGGCUCUAAGCGCGACCGCGACGCUGCCUGGCCCGGAAGACGACGGCAGUGCUGCCACGCCCUGCGAGGGCAAGGUGCUGAUGACGACGAGGAGGCGGCGGAGCAAGCAGGAGCUCCUCAACCACAUGCGCCGGUGCGGCCAGCUGAGCGGGCAGCUCUUCAUAUGGGAGCCGCGCGUCGCCACCUCCUCCUGA